rnacentral:lncRNA from 1 species
GAUUACAUGGUACCUGGCACACCUGGGUACACACACCUGGUACCUGGCACACCUGGAGACCAUUGCCCCUGACCCGCAUCUUUAAGAAGAAGAGUCAUCUCUCCUCACUUCAAUUUCCUUACCCACAAAAUGAGAAGAUUGGAGAUUAUUUUCAAGUUUCCACUUUAUGGGAUUCAUCAGACAACCGCCAACGUCAGAAAAAGGAUGGAGCUGCGGUCAGUUAUCACCUCCGAGCUAAUGAUACAGUUGAGCAAAUGCAGCAAUGUGGCGGAAAAAGUAACAGACUCUGGGCUGACUCUCCUCGAGGUUAUGAUGAUUUCCCAAGACGUCCAGGGUGGAGCAGAGAUGCAGCUGAUAAAGUGCGUGGCACGGACUGAGCGGCGUGAAGAAAGCUACUGACUGCAGCCGUCUGUGUGAUUUGGCAGCCCGAAACUACUCGGACAAAUCUAAACAAACCACCAUCCCUGGCUUCCUGAUGCCUCCCAGUAAGUCCUGGAAUGACUGCUUGGUGCUGGCCUCCCAGAAAGGAGUGGGGAAAAUAUGCAGAUCCUGCAAGUUUGGGGGCUUUCCUGGGGCAUCUGCUCAAAACAG